GAUGAACGCUGGCGGCGUGCCUAAUACAUGCAAGUCGAGCGAACAGACGAGGAGCUUGCGCCUCUGACGUUAGCGGCGGACGGGUGAGUAACACGUGGAUAACCUACCUAUAAGACUGGGAUAACUUCGGGAAACCGGAGCUAAUACCGGAUAAUAUAUUGAACCGCAUGGUUCAAUAGUGAAAGACGGCUUUGCUGUCACUUAUAGAUGGAUCCGCGCCGCAUUAGCUAGUUGGUAAGGUAACGGCUUACCAAGGCAACGAUGCGUAGCCGACCUGAGAGGGGGAUCGGCCACCCUGGAACUGAGACACGGUCCAGACUCCUACGGGAGGCAGCAGUAGGGAAUCUUCCGCAGUGGGCGAGAGCCUGACGGAGCAACGCCGCGUGAGUGAUGAAGGUCUUCGGAUCGUAAAACUCUGUUAUUAGGGAAGAACAAAUGUGUAAGUAACUAUGCACGUCUUGACGGUACCUAAUCAGAAAGCCACGGCUAACUACGUG
rnacentral:rRNA from 1 species